rnacentral:rRNA from 1 species
AGUAAAAGUCGUAACAAGGUCUCCGUUGGUGAACCAGCGGAGGGAUCAUUACAGAGUUGCAAAACUCCCACAAACCAUCGCGAAUCUUACCCGUACGGUUGCCUCGGCGCUGGCGGUCCGGAAAGGCCCUCGGGUCCUCCCGGAUCCUCGGGUCUCCCGCUCGCGGGAGGCUGCCCGCCGGAGUGCCGAAACUAAACUCUUGAUAUUUUAUGUCUCUCUGAGUAAACUUUUAAAUAAGUCAAAACUUUCAACAACGGAUCUCUUGGUUCUGGCAUCGAUGAAGAACGCAGCGAAAUGCGAUAAGUAAUGUGAAUUGCAGAAUUCAGUGAAUCAUCGAAUCUUUGAACGCACAUUGCGCUCGCCAGUAUUCUGGCGAGCAUGCCUGUUCGAGCGUCAUUUCAACCAUCAAGCUCUGCUUGCGUUGGGGAUCCGCGGCUGCCCGCGGUCCCUCAAAAUCAGUGGCGGGCUCGCUAGUCACACCGAGCGUAGUAACUCUACAUCGCUAUGGUCGUGCGGCGGGUUCUUGCCGUAAAACCCCCCAUUUCUAAGGUUGACCUCGGAUCAGGUAGGAAUACCCGCUGAACUUAAGCAUAUCAAUAAGCGGAGGAAAAGAAACCAACAGGGAUUGCCCCAGUAACG